rnacentral:lncRNA from 1 species
UAAUUUUCCAUAUAUCAGCAAGCAGAUAUUUUGCUAGUGAUGCAAUUGUAUAAUAAAAUUCAGAAAUAUAAGUUGCUUUUUAUUUCUAUUUAUUUUCUCUCUGUUCGACCUAUAAAAAUAUUGUUUUGGAUACAGUAAGAAGAAAACCAGGUAGAAUAUAACCAUUUGUUGUGCAACUGUGAGCACUUUUUAUUUACUUUAAUGUAACAUAGAUAUCACAAAGCAAGACACAUGGAAGACAAAAAUAGCAGAAAGCUAUAUUCUAAGAACAAUGGCUCAUAUUAGUCUUUUUCACAGACUCAAAUAUGGACAAUAGCUGUGUAUCCCACAAGGUGAUGCCUUUCAUUUACUCCAUGAAAGCAGAAAUAUUUGCAAGAAAUGAGAAGUGAAAGCAACAGAUUCAAGAACCUGCGAGAACUUCACGUAGACUAAAUACAAAAAAAGGAAGGAAGAAUGGAAGAGGGAAGGAAAGAAGGAAAGAAAGAAGGAAAGAAGGAAGGAAGGAGAA